rnacentral:lncRNA from 1 species
AUGAUUAAAUACAAAAGUAAUUCCUUCCCACCUCCGCACCCCUGCUUUAUUGCAGGAGAGCCCACGCAACAAAUAAUGGCUUUAAAUAAUGGCUUUCUUCCCCGGGAGCAGACUCUGGAGAGGAGUUUCCUGGUGCUGUGCUCCUGCCCACCCUCUGAUGCUGCAAGUGGAUGCCAGCCGAGCGUGCUCUGUGAUGAACUGAGCUGUGCUGUGCUUAAUAAAGAGGAUGAAGACGUGUCACCCUUUGCAAACUCCUCCCCUCCAGCUCACGGAUUUGAGGGCCCCCUGACGCCAGGACGUCACUCUGGAAGGGUUCCUAUUGUGGAAACUUUCUCACCAGCUGCUUUGUGAUGUGCCGCACAAGCACAAGGCCCUUUUGCUGUAAUUAAGCUCUGGCUGUUCUUUCAGGGCUGCAAUUCAAAGAAAUACAUCACUUUCAAGUCAGACGAGCAGCUUGACAGCGGAUCGGGGAGGAACAACUCUGCUCCAUGAGAGCCUUGGCCGUGCUGUGCUGCGCUCUGCUGUGCCAUGCAGCAGUGCGUCCUCACACAGCCUCAGAGCUCCCUGUUGCUGCAGAGCACAUCCCCACACCCGUCUGAUGGUUACCUGCAGGGGAUGGGACACGUUUAACUGGUAGAGAAGCUCUGUGCACGGCAGCUGUUUGGUAUUAACUCGGUGCAUCGAAUAGGCAUGAAAUUGAAUCCAGUGGCGCUGGGUGAGCUGGCAGCAACAUGGGCAUGGAAAAUGCCCCCAUCCUCUGUCUCCUCGGGGCCACCAGCAAUGGAUGAGCCCAGCAGCUCCGUGCAUCCCUCUGCUAGGCUGCAGCAGCUGUGCAGGGUAAGGAGCUGCCCCUCUGCACCUCUGCAGUGGCACUAAGAAGAGUGAAGUAUCAAAGCAGAGCAUUUCCAGAGGCAACUGGGAUGGAGGCGCAGGGGGAAGGCAGCUUAUUUGUUUGGAAAGAAUCUUAUAUGCCCUGUUCGUAAUUAGGAAGCAUUAUAAAUGUGAUUCCCUGACUUCCCUGAGAGUGAAGAAGGAGACCACAAAGCGUCUCCCUGCUACCAGAGCCUGUUGCUGCUUCUGCACUGGGGGAGGAUGGGGACCUGGGAGCCAGUCCCAGUGCCAACCAUGGGAUUGAACAUCCCUGUCCUGGUGACCCAUGUAGGGAAGCACAUGAGCUCACAGCUUGCAGUUCCCCAUCCCUUAGGGAAGGGACAUGUCAAGGCAGGAGCCUCUGACAGUACAGGAACAGCCAGGCCAGCAUCCAUUAAUGCCGCAGUCAGCAACAGGAUGGAUGUGGACACUGUCAGUCUUGAAUUAUGGGCAUCUUGCAAAGGAAGGAGCUCUUUAUAGA